rnacentral:lncRNA from 1 species
UGUAGGUCAAAAGUCAGGAAUGGAUCUCACUGGGCUAAAAUCAAGGUGUUGGUCAGCUGGCUUUAUUCCUUUCUGAGGGCUCUUGAGUUUGUUUCCUUGCUCAUGCAGAUGUUGGAAGAAUUCAGUUCCAUGCAGUUAAAGGACUGAGGUAUGUUUCCUCACUGGUUGUCAACUGGGAGCUACCCUUUACUCUUAGAAGCUCCUUUCUGAUCCUUGCACAUAGCCUCCUACAUCUCAGGAUCAAAUUCUUCCCAUCCUGCCAUCUCUUUGACCCAGCUAGUCAGCAUUCUCUACUUUUAAAUACUUUAGUGAUUAGAUUGGGCCCACCUGGAUAAUCCUGGCUACUCUUCCCAUCUGAAGGGUAACCUUAACUACUUCUGCAGAGUCCCUUUUGCCAUGUAAGGUAACAUAUUCAUAAAUUUAGGGGAUUAAGGUGUAAACAUCUUUGCAGGGUGUGGGGAGGACAUUAUUCUGCCAAACAAAGAAAUGGGCUGUCAGUCUAAUUGUCUUUCCUUUGUAGAUGAUUUGGCUGUUCUCUCUAGCUGCUUUUAAGAUCUGGCUGUUUCUUGGAAUGUAUUUCUUAUUUAUCCUUGUGAACACUGACUCUCCUCCAUUCUCUUUUAAAAUUCCUACUAAGCACAAACUAGAUCUUUCUUCACUCUUUCUUUCUCUCUUUCUUUCUUAACAGGGUCUUGCUCUGUCACCCAGGCUGGAGUGCAGUUGCUCUAUCAUGACUCACUGCAGCCUCAAAUGCUUGGACUCGAGCAAUCCUUCAGGCUAAAAGGUUUAUGAAGACAUCUGUCUUGUCCGGCAUCAUAUCCUGGGACCCACAAAGUGACUGAAAUAUAUCUGGUGGUCAAUAUAUAUUUGGUGAGUAGAUAAUAUGUCCUCAUGGUGUUUGAGUGGCAUUGCUUGAUGUAGCUGAAUCCAAAUAGAAUAUCAGCUUUUUUAUGUCCUUCCACUUCAAAUUGUUUCAUUUUACACAUAAUUUUUCAGAGCCAGUUAAUCAGACAAAGAUGAUUUAUUUUCAUACCUAAAGCACUUUAUAAUAUUCUCUGGAAA